rnacentral:tmRNA from 1 species
GGGGGUGUACCGGUCUCGACGGGGAACACAGCGGAUCGCGGGUCGCGUGUCGAGUUUCCGCUCGGUCAAACGGAAAAAACAUAACUGCGAACGACAACUUCGCUCUCGCGGCCUAAUUAAACGGCCGUGACGUCCCCCAGAGUGCCCUGAUCUACGGCGCUCUGACGGGAUGCCACUUGAAGUAGAUCAAAAGGUGCGGGACGCCCGGUGCCGCACCCGGAUUGAACCGGGCUGGCCGCCCGCGCCGGUGGCCUUCUUCCAAAGCGCGGGCGGUGAGAUUGCAAACAGAGGGCUACGCACGUAGAAGCUCUCGGACGCGUUUCUCGGACGUGGGUUCGACUCCCACCACCUCCACCA